AGGCUGAGGCACUGCAGCCUGGAGGAGUCCUUGGUGCUCUCCUGGGGGAGGCAAGACACCCAGCUGGAUGGACCAGAGCUGAAACCUUCCUCAGCAUCCCUUCCUCCUCUGCCAAAUGGAGCUGUGGCACUCCUGGCACUAACAGAAAUAGGAAGAAGGAAGCAAAUUAAAACCAGAGAGCUCAGAAAAUUGAACACGGAUUCAGAUGAGACAGGAAAAGCUGAUUUUUUAUUGUGGACGUGUCCAUUUUCACUCUUUACUCAUCCAAGGAGAAGACAUUUCUCAUGCCAAGCCACGGGAAGCUGGUGCAGAAUUGCAGUUCCACGAGCAGCAGGAGCCCGUGAGGAUAAACACAGUGUGCCUGCUCAGACAGCAGAGAGCAAGAGCUGCCACGGUCCCAGAGCAGGGUCACCAGCUGGCAAAAUACCUAGCAAAGUUUCCUGUUGUAA